CGGAUUCCGGUCCAUUCAUUCUCUCUUCUCCUCCGACAAAUCGCUACAAUCUGAGUGAUUCAAACCGUUGAUAUUAAUGCCUUAUAAUGAAAGGCCGACGCACCCAAACGCGCCAGAGGGGCAGUUUAAGAUAUAAAAUUGUUGGCCAUAUUUUCCGUUUUUCAACCAUCUAUUUCUUAGGGAGCCUAUCCAAGGGUUUGGAUUCUUCCUGAUGGUGUUCCCUUGAAAAACAGAUUUGGGAUUUCAGUCAAGGAAGGGAAAAGAUCAACGGCCAAGAAUGACCGACCGUUGCAAUUUUCUGUUAUUUUGGCGCCAAAAACAAUUAGCCUGGUAGGGAAGAGCUAUCCAUCCAUAAACCUCCCCAAACCCCUCCGCAUUUCAAGAAACCCCAUCCGAGAUUUCAGAAUUCCAUCUUUCUCGAAGUGAAAAAAAGAUCAAGCAAUCCACACAUGGCCCGCGUAAAGGGAAGGUUCCAUUUCUCCACUAGCAAUUUGUCGAUCCCGCUCAUUCUCAUGGCUCUGCUCGUCCACAAGCCGUUGCAAGAUUGGCAAAAAGAUCCAUCCCAUCAUCGGAACAUACCUUUUAUAUGAAUUAGCUUCUAUUGCAAGUAGGGCUUUCUCAAUGAAGCAAGCUGACUAUUCGACAAAAUGACUCAGAGAGAUUUGGUUUCUUGGGAUGUGAUGAUUUGUUGGCACAUUGGCAAUUUCCAGUUCAGAUGCACUAUAGAUCUAUUCUCUGAUAUUAGAUGUGGUGAUCGAAUCCCAAUUCACUUACUCUGUACCACAUACAAACAUCGGAGGCAUAUUUGAAGCAAGUUAAUCUGGUUACAUGGUGGACGCCUGAAAGUAUGACACUUGUAUAUGAGCAGAAGAUUGCCCCCAAAAAAGGGGCAUGAAAGUUGGAUGUCGAAAUCUCGGAAAUGGAAUGAGGCAUUGGCAUAUUGAACAAGUCAUGGGUCUUUUGUUUUCUUUUUUUUAGACACACACUCACCCCUCCCCCACACACUCACAUGCUCACACGCACACCCACCCCACAGACUCUCGCGCACUCGCACCACAAGGGGUGCUCAAACCCACGACCUCGUGUUGAAACUCCAGAGAGUCUACCACUGAGGCACGGCAACAGGUGCUGAUUAUCAAGGAGAUCUCGAGUAGUUGGGAAGAGAAUCUAGGGAUGGAUGGGAUCGAGCCAAGUUCUAAUCUAGGGUUGUCGUCAUCACUUAGGCUCCGAGCUUGCUAUGAGUGUUUUGCAUUAAGGGCUUCAAGAGUUGAUUUUUUGGACUUUUGGAAAAUUCCAGUUGCUGCAUUAAUUUCUAGUUAAUAUAUCUGAUCAACCACCUUGAUAAUAAUCCAUCCCGCCAUUAAUCUCCAUUUCCUUUUGUCUAAAAACCACAAACGCUGUUUUGAUGAUGUCUGUACAGCCUCUGUAUGAUUCAUGGUCUAUGGUUAAUGAAGGUAUGGCCCACUAAAUGAGCAGCAGUUUCUUGUCAAGGAAGGCAGUUGGUGCAUGAGAAUUAGCAAGGAGCUGCUAUUAACUUUGCAUUAGCAGCAUUUGACUACCAUUGAGAUGUUUGUUAGUUGGCAUGCAAGCUUCAUGAGGAGUCCUCCAAGUUUCUCAUAAGGCUGCAUGGUGUGCUACCUGUCACAAUUGAGCCACUGUAGUCAUUUUCCUUUGAGGUCACAAGAUCAGUUACGGGACGUUGCUAGUACUUGGGACACCUGCACCUGUUUUGAUGUUGUAGGAUUUUACAUGGGCUGAAAUUCUGAUGCCUCUCCUUGGGAAUUCAAGGUUCUGAAUUGCAAUUUUGUGGAGGUUGUGGUUUUCAUAACAGCGCAACAUCACGGUGCUACAGCAGUAAGACAUGAUGUUUCCACACUCGUUAGCAUAUGUUCAUGUGCCAAACAGCUUCACAUGGCAUCCAUGCCAUGCCAACGAAUUUGUGGAGUGACUGUGCUGCAUCGCUAAACUUUCGUGUCAACAUCUGUGGGCUAGAAUUAUUGUUAUAGCUUAAGAAUCUAUUCGGACGAACCCACAAAUCCAUAUUGAGGCAGACACUUCCUCAGGAUAGCUCCCCUUUCUUUUGGCUCUGCAUUUGGGGAGGCGCAGAAAACAAAAUUUGUGCUAAGUGGGAUUCCGCUUUCUAACUUUUCCGUCCCAAAAUCAUCGUUGGAUUCGUAGCUGUAAGGAAACCAAUAAAGACGUGUGCAGAAAAGCAAUUGAACCACCUUGCUUUUGCAGGGACAUCCAACCGUACCCGUAAGUAUUGUUAUCUUAGUGUCUAUUCUACUAAUGAAACGUCUUUUGUUUGUAAAUUCCACAGAACAAUGUCUCGGUGGAUCAUACGGUUUGAUGCGCACCAAACUCAUCUCACGAAUUCUCUGCAAUUUCCUGCAGGCUUUGUGAACUGUGACUAGGAUGCACAUAGCUUAUGUGCGCCAUUAAAGAUGUUCAAGUUGCGAAGGAGGAUUGGACCAUGUUCUUGUUUGGCUUGAUUAAGGAUAUUAUUUAAUAUUUGCCCACCAAAACAGCCAUCAUAAUCAAAUUAAUAAAGAAGACAAAAAGGCUCGAUGCUUAAUAGGUGUCGUUUGUAUGUAUUUUUUUAGUUCAUUUCUUCCUUCCCCCGUUUAUGCCCAUGAGUUAUUAUAUCGGUUUUUGCUCUUUGGUUUCCAUCUACUUUCAGAUAACAUAAAACAAUUCACAAUAUUUUAGCUUCUAUUGA